UAGAAAUCAGGUCUGAACAGU
rnacentral:siRNA from 1 species